CCUACGGGCGGCAGCAGUGAGGAAUAUUGGUCAAUGGACGAGAGUCUGAACCAGCCAAGUAGCGUGAAGGAUGACUGCCCUAUGGGUUGUAAACUUCUUUUAUAUGGGAAUAAAAUGUUCCACGUGUGGGAUUUUGUAUGUACCAUAUGAAUAAGGAUCGGCUAACUCCGUGCCAGCAGCCGCGGUAAUACGGAGGAUCCGAGCUUUAUCCGGUUUUAUUGGGUUUAAAGGGAGCGUAGGUGGAUUGUUAAGUCAGUUGUGAAAGUUUGCGGCUCAACCGUAAAAUUGCAGUUGAAACUGGCAGUCUUGAGUACAGUAGAGGUGGGCGGAAUGCGUGGUGUAGCGGUGAAAUGCUUAGAUAUCACGAAGAACUCCGAUUGCGAAGGCAGUUCACUGGACUGCAACUGACACUGAGGCUCGAAAGUGUGGGUAUCAAACAGGAUUAGAUACCCGUGUAGUC
rnacentral:rRNA from 1 species